AGAGCGAACGCUGGCGGCAGGCCUAAUACAUGCAAGUCGAACGAACCCUUCGGGGUUAGUGGCGGACGGGUGAGUAACACGUGGGAACGUGCCCUUUGGUUCGGAACAACUCAGGGAAACUUGAGCUAAUACCGGAUGAGCCCUUCGGGGGAAAGAUUUAUCGCCAUUGGAGCGGCCCGCGUCUGAUUAGCUAGUUGGUGAGGUAAAGGCUCACCAAGGCUACGAUCAGUAGCUGGUCUGAGAGGAUGAUCAGCCACAUUGGGACUGAGACACGGCCCAGACUCCUACGGGAGGCAGCAGUGAGGAAUAUUGCUCAAUGGACGAAAGUCUGAAGCAGCAACGCCGCGUGAGGGAUGAAGGUGCUCUGCAUCGUAAACCUCUGUAGUCGGGAAAAAUGACGAACGAUCGUUCGUUUGAUGGUACCCGAAAAGUAAGGAUCGGCUAACUACGUGCCAGCAGCCGC
rnacentral:rRNA from 1 species